ACGGUCAUAAACCCGUUGAAAGACCGGUUCCCGUACGUUCACCUAAGUUAAGCAACGUCGUGCCUGGUCAGUAUCUAGAUGGGUGACCGCCUGGGAAUACCAAGUUCUGUA